rnacentral:rRNA from 1 species
CCUGAAAACCGGUCUCAGUUCGGAUCGCAGUCUGCAACUCGACUGCGUGAAGGUGGAGUCGCUAGUAAUCGCGGAUCAGCAACGCCGCGGUGAAUGCGGUUCCCGGGCCUUGUACACACCGCCCGUCAAGUCAUGAAAGUGGGCAGCACCCGAAGACGGUGGCCUAACCCUUGUGGGGGGAGCCGUCUAAGGUGAGGCUCGUGAUUGGGACUAAGUCGUAACAAGGUACC